rnacentral:rRNA from 1 species
GACGAACGCUUGCGGCGUGCCUAAGAAAUGCAAGUCGAGCGGGGGUAGCAAUACCCUAGCGGCGAACGGUCGCGUAACACGUAAGCAACCUGCCCCGAAGACCGGGACAACAGCUCGAAAGGGCUGCUAAUACCGGAUGUGGCCAUUGGGGGACAUCCCCUGGUGAUUAAAUCAAGCAAUUGGCUUCGGGAGGGGCUUGCGGCCUAUCAGCUAGUUGGUGGGGUAACGGCCUACCAAGGCGACGACGGGUAGCUGGUCUGAGAGGACGGCCAGCCGGACCGGGACUGAGAUACGGCCCAGACUCCUACGGGGGGCAGCAAUUAGGAAUCUUGCGCAAUGGGCGAAAGCCUGACGCAGCGACGCCGCGUGGAGGAGGAAGUCCUUCGGGAUGUAAACUCCUUUUGCCAGGGAAGAAACAAAUGACGGUACCUGGUGAAUAAGCCCCGGCUAACUACGUGCCAGCCGCCGCAGUAAUAC